GAUGAACGCUGGCGGCGUGCCUAAUACAUGCAAGUCGAGCGAACAGACGAGGAGCUUGCUCCUCUGACGUUAGCGGCGGACGGGUGAGUAACACGUGGAUAACCUACCUAUAAGACUGGGAUAACUUCGGGAAACCGGAGCUAAUACCGGAUAAUAUAUUGAACCGCAUGGUUCAAUAGUGAAAGACGGUUUUGCUGUCACUUAUAGAUGGAUCCGCGCCGCAUUAGCUAGUUGGUAAGGUAACGGCCUACCAAGGCGACGAUGCGAAGCCGACCUGAGAGGGUGAUCGGCCACACGGGACCGGAGACACGGUCCAGACUCCUAGGGGAGGCAGCAGUAGGGAUCCUUCCGCAAUGGGCGAAGGCCUGACGGAGCAAGGCCGCGUGAGUGAUGAAGUUCUUCGGAUCGUAAAACUCUGUUAUUAGGGAAGAACAAAUGUGUAAGUAACUAUGCACGUCUUGACGGUACCUAAUCAGAAAGCCACGGCUAACUACGUG
rnacentral:rRNA from 1 species